UGCAUAGGUUGUUAAAGCUGCUUAAUUGUAGCGCACAGAGAUGGGCCUGCGUUCCAUUAGCUUGUUGGCGGGUUAAGAGCCCACCAAGGCGACGAUGGAUAGCUGAUCUGAGAGGGUGAUCAGCCACACUGGGACUGAGAUACGGCCCAGACUCCUACGGGAGGCAGCAGUGAGGAAUAUUGCGCAAUGGGCGAAAGCCUGACGCAGCAACGCCGCGUGGGGGAUGACGCACUAUGGUGUGUAAACCUCUGUAGGUAGGGAAGAACGGCAUGGUUUCGUAAGGGGUCAUGCAUGACGGUACCUAUAAAGUAAGCUCCGGCUAACUCCGUGCCAGCAGCCGCGGUAAUACGGGGGGAGCGAGCGUUGUCCGGAAUUACUGGGCGUAAAGGGCGUGUAGGCGGCCGGGUAAGUCAGAUGUGAAAGCCUUCCGCUUAACGGAAGAACGGCAUUUGAUACUGUCCGGCUUGAGUGCGAGAGGGGGUAGUGGAAUUCCCAGUGUAGCGGUGAAAUGCGUAGAUAUUGGGAGGAACACCCGUAGCGAAGGCGGCUACCUGGCUCGUAACUGACGCUAAGGCGCGAAAGCGUGGGGAGCAAACAGGAUUAGAUACCCUGGUAGUCCACGCCGUAAACGAUGGGUACUAGAUGUUGG
rnacentral:rRNA from 1 species